AUACCUUUCUCGGCCUUUUGGCUAAGAUCAAGUGUAGUAUCUGUUCUUAUCAGUUUAAUAUCUGAUACGUGGGACAAUGUCCCACAUGAUAUUAAAUUUAUUUUUUUAAGGGGGAGGGUUCACUACAGUGGCUUGCCACUGGAGCCCUCGAGUGUCGCCUUUGCGUUGCACUACUGCUCGGGCCUGGCGCACCCCAC